rnacentral:rRNA from 1 species
GACGAACGCUGGCGGCGUGCUUAACACAUGCAAGUCGAACGGAGUGGCGAACGGGUGAGUAACACGUGGGUGAUCUGCCUUGCACUUCGGGAUAAGCUUGGGAAACUGGGUCUAAUACCGGAUAGUGCAAGAUGAGCUCGCGGUCUAUGAGCUGGUUGGUGGGGUAAUGGCCUACCAAGGCGUCGACGGGUAGCCGGCCUGAGAGGGUGUACGGCCCCAGUGGGCUUAGGUACGGCGCAGAGUCCUACUGGGGGCAGCGGUGGGGAAUAUUGCACAAUCGGCGGAAGCCUGAUGCAGAGACGCUGGGUGGGUGAUGAAGGCCUUCGGGUUGUAAACCCCUUUCGACAGGGACGCGGUACCUGUAUAAGAAGCACCGGCUAACUACGUGCCAGCAGCCGCGGUAAUUC